rnacentral:lncRNA from 1 species
AGCCAUCUCUCUAGCCCCCUGUUCUCCUAUUUUAAUUGCUCUGAAUGUAUCCUUACUGUGAUCUCAGUGAUAAGCUAGAGGAGAGGUGGGUCCCAAGAAGCCAGCAGGAUGAGCGCACCCUGUGAAGUAUGAGAACUUGAGACCACUGUGUUCAAUCCCAGGGUAUCUUAAUGUCUUAAUUAGGGUUUAUAUUUGCAGUGACAAAACAACAUGACCAAAAAGCAAGUUGGGAAGGAAAUUGUACAUUUGGCUUACACUUCCAUAUUGCUGUUUAUCAUCGAAGGAAGUCAGGACAAAAACUCAAACAGAACAGGAACCUGGAAGCAGGAGUUAAUGCAGAGCCAUCGAGGGGUGCUGCUUACAGGUUUCCUUCCUUUGGCUUGUUCAGCCUACUUUCUUAAAGAAUUCAGGAUCACCAACCCAAGGAGUAGACUGGGCUCUUCCCCAUCAAUCUAAUUAAGAAACUUGCUUACAGUUGGGUCUUAUGGAAGCAUUUCCUCAAGUGAGGUUCCCUCCUUUCAGAUGACUAGUUUGUGUGUCAACUUGACAUAGACUAGCAGCACACUCAAAUACAUUGACUACUUUCCUAAUCACACCCAACUAAAGCUGUCAGGCAUCUGGAGAACUCAAGAUAAAAAAGAAUAGGGAAAGGAGAGGUGAACUGUUAAAUCUGGCACAGAGCAGUAGACUGAAAUUCUCUUCUCCCACAGACUGGAAACCAACACAUCUAUCAGCCUGUGGGAAAAC